GGGGAAUAUUGCGCAAUGGGGGGAACCCUGACGCAGCAACGCCGCGUGGAGGAAGAAGGUCCUCGGAUUGUAAACUCCUGUCUUCUGGGACGAUAAUGACGGUACCAGAGGAGGAAGCCACGGCUAACUACGUGCCAGCAGCCGCGGUAAUACGUAGGUGGCGAGCGUUGUCCGGAAUUACUGGGCGUAAAGAGCGCGUAGGCGGUUUUUUAAGUCAGAUGUGAAAAUCCAGGGCUUAACUCUGGGCGUGCAUUUGAAACUGGGGAACUAGAGUGCAGGAGAGGUAAGUGGAAUUCCUAGUGUAGCGGUGAAAUGUGUAGAUAUUAGGAGGAACACCAGUGGCGAAGGCGACUUACUGGACUGUAACUGACGCUGAGGCGCGAAAGCGUGGGUAGCGAAC
rnacentral:rRNA from 1 species